ensembl:lncRNA
CAUACAAUUUAAUUCUAAGAGCUUUCAAGAAAUGGGUUGUGUUUGCUUUGCAAGUCAUAUCAUGAGAGACUGCUAAAAAUAUCAUGCUUGAAUAACAGGAGAGUAGUUGAUGUUUUCUGAAUUGAACUUUUUAGAUGAACUACUACCGUGGCAUCAGUCACCACAAUUGCAUUUCAGGAAAAUAACCAGUUGUCCUAUAAAGCUUUGCUAAGAACUUAUCCAGGGCUGCCUUUUCUCUCUCGAUUUCCCUGAGCCAGAUAUUUAAAAUCUUCUGAAGUUUUUCAACAUAAAGCUUGUUUCUCCUCUCCUCUACCAAGUUGGUCAUGACAGCCCUCCACAUGUUCAUGGGGUCUCCAACUUUCAAAGUGUUCCCCUUCAGUAUGCGGCCCUUGCCACUCAUCUUCAAACUACGUCUGAGGGAGUCUCCAACUUUUGAAGUCUUCCCCUUCGCUGUGCGGCACUUGUUACUCUUUUUCAAACUUGUCAGAGGAGGUUCCAGACAGGACUGAGAGUCAUCUUUAUUGCUGUACAGUGACUCUUCAGGGGUAAGGAAUUCUAAAACCACAGCCCCAAGGGAACAGAGCAUCUCAGAAUGUUGAGGCUGAGUGAUGUCACAGAUCCUCCUAGCUCAAACCAGCUAUGACCAGAAAAAGGUGUUAAGCUUGAAGAUUAAACCAUUCUUCAGUGAUGAAGUGAACUGAUAGAGCAGGUUGGCUCUCAGAUGCCUACUACCAUCUUAUGCUUCUACCCAGGUUGAAUGGUUCAUUUUAUUGUACAAUAUGAAGUUUCCUACAAAGUUAAUUGAAAACAAAGUGAGUACUGGAGCCAACAUUUGCUGGAACUAGGCCAGUCACAGAACCAUAUACCCACUAGUCACAACCCAAAGAUGAAGCGGAAACUCAGGAUUUCUACUUAGCCUUACUUCGGCACAGAUGACAUUGCUAAGCAUAGUCAGAGAUGUUGAUCCCUAAGAAACAUCUCACACUCCAAAGUCUGCACGGUCCCUGCUUCUGGAAAAACCUGUCUACAAUACCUUCAUUUCAUCACUCCCAACUCCACUUGUGUCAACUGGAACAUGAACAAAGCUGCACUCAACCCCUCCACUGUUUGCAGGAGAUUCAAACCAGAGCCAGUAGGAAAGAGAACAAGUCUUCCUCAUUCCUAUUUUCCCUUCUAUGUGGAUGCAACCCCAGCAGCUAGAACACUCUUGGCUUUUCUCUCUCCACUCACUCCCUCCUCCCUGAAAGGGUAAAUGCGGAGGUGUGGCCCAGCUCGUUCCUUUUUUUGGAGAGGAGUUGCACACAGAAACCACAUGUUCUUCCUCAU